rnacentral:misc_RNA from 1 species
CGAGGUCAACCUUUGGAAAAUUGGGGGGUUUUACGGCAAGAGUCCCUCCGGAUCCCAGUGCGAGACGUAAAGUUACUACGCAAAGGAGGCUCCGGGAGGGUCCGCCACUACCUUUGAGGGCCUACAUCAGCUGUAGGGCCCCAACACCAAGCAGAGCUUGAGGGUUGAAAUGACGCUCGAACAGGCAUGCCCGCCAGAAUGCUGGCGGGCGCAAUGUGCGUUCAAAGAUUCGAUGAUUCACUGAAUUCUGCAAUUCACAUUACUUAUCGCAUUUCGCUGCGUUCUUCAUCGAUGCCAGAACCAAGAGAUCCGUUGUUAAAAGUUUUGAUUAUUUGCUUGUACCACUCAGAAGAAACGUCGUUAAAUCAGAGUUUGGUUAUCCUCCGGCGGGCGCCGACCCGCCCGGGGGCGGGAGGCCGGGAGGGUCACGGAGACCCUACCCGCCGAAGCAACAGUUGUAGGUAUGUUCACAAAGGGUUGUAGAGCGUA